rnacentral:rRNA from 1 species
UGAGGAAUACAUGGGAAUCUGCCCAGUCGUGGGGGAUAACGUAGGGAAACUUACGCUAAUACCGCAUGCGCCCUUCGGGGGAAAGCCGGGGACCUUCGGGCCUGGCGCGAUUGGAUGAGCCCAUGUCGGAUUAGCUAGUUGGCGGGGUAAUGGCCCAACCAAGGCGACGAUCCGUAGCUGGUCUGAGAGGAUGAUCAGCCACACUGGAACUGAGACACGGUCCAGACUCCUACGGGAGGCAGCAGUAGGGAAUAUUGGACAAUGGCGCAAGCCUGAUCCAGCCAUGCCGCGUGAGUGAAGAAGGCCCCUCGGGAUGUAAAGCUCUUUUAGUACCGGAAAGAAAAGCGCCGGGUUAAUACCCUGGUGUCCUGACGGUACCGGAAGAAUAAGCACCCGGCUAACUUCGUG